UACGGAGGGGGACUAGCGUUGUUCGGAAUUACUGGGCUUAAAGCGUGUGUAGGCGGAUCGUUAAGUACCUUGUGAAAUCCCACGGCUCAACCGUGGAACGGCUGGGUAUACUGGCGGUCUUGGGCCAUUCAGGGGCGACUGGAACAAGCGGUGGAGCGGUGAAAUGCGUAGAUAUCGCUUGGAACGCCGAAGGUGAAAACAGGUCGCUGGGGAUGUGCCGACGCUGAGACACGAAAGCCAGGGGAGCAAACGGG
rnacentral:rRNA from 1 species